UGCGUAGGUGGUUUUGUAAGCGCGGGGUGAAAGGCAAUAGCUCAACUAUUGUAAGCCUUGCGAACUGUAAGACUUGAGUGCAGGAGAGGAAAGCGGAACUCCUAGUGUAGCGGUGAAAUGCGUAGAUAUUAGGAGGAACACCAGUGGCGAAGGCGGCUUUCUGGACUGUAACUGACACUGAGGCACGAAAGCGUGGGGAGCAAACAGGAUUAGAUACCCUGGUAGUCCACGCCGUAAACGAUGAGCACUAGGUGUCGGGGCCGCAAGGUUUCGGUGCCGCAGUUAACGCAUUAAGUGCUCCGCCUGGGGAGUACGCACGCAAGUGUGAA
rnacentral:rRNA from 1 species